AACGAACGCUGGCGGCAGGCCUAACACAUGCAAGUCGAGCGAACCCUUCGGGGUUAGCGGCGGACGGGUUAGUAACGCGUGGGAAUAUACCCUUUGGUACGGAAUAGCCUCGGGAAACUGAGAGUAAUACCGUAUGUGCCCUUCGGGGGAAAGAUUUAUCGCCAAAGGAUUAGCCCGCGUUGGAUUAGAUAGUUGGUGGGGUAAUGGCCUACCAAGUCUACGAUCCAUAGCUGGUUUGAGAGGAUGAUCAGCAACACUGGGACUGAGACACGGCCUAGACUCCUACGGGAGGCAGCAGUGGGGAAUCUUAGACAAUGGGCGCAAGCCUGAUCUAGCCAUGCCGCGUGGACGAUGAAGGCCUUAGGGUUGUAAAGUCCUUUCAGAUGGGAAGAUAAUGACGGUACCAUCAGAAGAAGCCCCCGGCUAACUCCGUG
rnacentral:rRNA from 1 species